rnacentral:rRNA from 1 species
AACGAACGCUGGCGGCAUGCCUAACACAUGCAAGUCGAACGAGACCUUCGGGUCUAGUGGCGCACGGGUGCGUAACGCGUGGGAACCUGCCCUUAGGUUCGGAAUAACUCCCCGAAAGGGGUGCUAAUACCAGAUAAUGUCUUCGGACCAAUGAUUUAUCGCCUUUGGAUGGGCCCGCGUUGGAUUAGCUAGUUGGUAGGGUAAAAGCCUACCAAGGCGAUGAUCCAUAGCUGGUCUGAGAGGAUGAUCAGCCACACUGGGACUGAGACACGGCCCAGACUCUUACGGGAGGCAGCAGUGGGGAAUAUUGGACAAUGGGCGAAAGCCUGAUCCAGCAAUGCCGCGUGAGUGAUGAAGGCCUUAGGGUUGUAAAGCUCUUUUAACCGGGAUGAUAAUGACAGUACCGGGAGAAUAAGCGCCGGCUAACUCCGUG